AGGAUAGAUUCAAGUCACAAUCA
rnacentral:siRNA from 1 species